UUCACAAUGCAGUGGCUGCACAAGACUACACCUCUUUUAUAAAAGAAUUGUUGCAAUGGAUGAAUCCGGAGGACUUGGAAUUGCAAACCACAGAUGGAGAUACAGCCCUUCACUUUGCAGCUCAAUCAAAAAUCGUGAGAAUUGCUCAACUGCUGGUCAAAAUCAACAAUGAACCGCUAUUGAUCCGUGACUCCGAUGGGAACAUACCACUCCAUAUUGCAGCUUACCAAGGACAUCCAAACAUGAUCUGGUAUCUAAUCUCUGUGACUCCUUUCGAUCAGUUGACUGCUAAUGAUCGCACUAAGCUCCUGCUUGAUUCUAUUUGCAAUGAUAUAUAUGAUAUAGUUUGAACAUUCUGAAAAUAGAUUCAAACAUAGCAACUGCCGACACUGUACGUGGGUACUGGAGAGCUUUGGAAGUGUUGGCAAGAAAAGCUUUUGCAAUUUGGCCCCUAAAGUCAGCUAUCACUCCAGCGAAGUCGAUCAAAUUCCUGGUUCAAAUGGAUCUGUAACAACGUUUUGAUGAAGACAAUAACCCAUCAAUUAGUUGAAGACCUUUGGAAAAUGGUUAGAACUCAAGACCAGUUCUCAAAACGCUUGGUUCAAUAUAAGGAGACUUUAAUUUUUGAGGCUGCGAAAGUUGGAAAUGCUGGGUUUCUAAUUAUAUUGAUACACUAUUAUCCUGAUCUUAUAUGGCAAUUAGACAAAGAUGGCAUGAGUUUAUUUCACAUUGCUAUUUUAUAUUGCCAGGAGAGUGUGUUCAAUCUAAUAUAUAAGAUAGGUACUAACAAGCAUCGACUUGCAUCCUUAAUUACUUUGGAAAAAAAGGACAACAUGUUGCACUUAGCUGUAAGAUCAACUCCUUCGGAUGGACAAAAUAUCGUAUUAGGAGGUUUUGGCAUGCAA